rnacentral:rRNA from 1 species
UUUCCCCUACGGGGCGCAGCAGUGGGGAAUAUUGGGCAAUGGGCGCAAGCCUGACCCAGCAACGCCGCGUGAAGGAAGAAGGCUUUCGGGUUGUAAACUUCUUUUAUCAGGGACGAAGCAAGUGACGGUACCUGAUGAAUAAGCCACGGCUAACUACGUGCCAGCAGCCGCGGUAAUACGUAGGUGGCGAGCGUUAUCCGGAUUUACUGGGUGUAAAGGGGGCGCAGGCGGCACGGCAAGCCUGAUGUGAAAGCCCGCGGCCCAACCGCGGGACUGCAUUGGGAACUACCGGGCUGGAGUGCCGG